rnacentral:rRNA from 1 species
UGGGGAAUUUUGGACAAUGGGCGAAAGCCUGAUCCAGCAAUGCCGCGUGUGUGAAGAAGGCCUUCGGGUUGUAAAGCACUUUUGUCCGGAAAGAAAUCCUUGGCUCUAAUACAGUCGGGGGAUGACGGUACCGGAAGAAUAAGCACCGGCUAACUACGUGCCAGCAGCCGCGGUAAUACGUAGGGUGCAAGCGUUAAUCGGAAUUACUGGGCGUAAAGCGUGCGCAGGCGGUUUGCUAAGACCGAUGUGAAAUCCCGGGCUCAACCUGGGAACUGCAUUGGUGACUGGCAGGCUAGAGUAUGGCAGAGGGGGUAGAAUUCCACGUGUAGCAGUGAAAUGCGUAGAGAUGUGGAGGAAUACCGAUGGCGAAGGCAGCCCCCUGGGCCAAUACUGACGCUCAUGCACGAAAGCGUGGGGAGCAAACAGGAUUAGAUACCCUGGUAGUCCACGCCCUAAACGAUGUCAACUAGUUGUUGGGGAUUCAUUUCCUUAGUAACGUAGCUAACGCGUGAAGUUGACCGCCUGGGGAGUACGGUCGCAAGAUUAAAACUCAAAGGAAUUGACGGGGUCAUAGCUG